CCUGUGUGUGGAUAGUGUUCAGCACCAAGGACAGGGAUGUUUACCUGUAUGUGGAUAGUGUUCAGCACCAAGGACAGGCAUGUUUGCCU
rnacentral:pre_miRNA from 1 species